GUUGGAGGUCACGUGUAACUUGCCGGCCAUUUGCGCUUUCAUCAAUGAAGCCAGAGUGGAGUGACAGUCGACGUGGUCAUCUUAUUAGGAUUGUGGAGAAUUGGACAGCAUUCCAGCAGGGCUGGAUGCAAGUCCACCUGACUCUGCAGCUGUGGGGACCCUGGGUCUAUAAAGACUUAAAAUGUCUAUAACACAUUCCUGCUUGUGUUGAUCAACUCAUUUUUGGAUUCCUUCUCUUAAACUUUUUGUAAGAUUUGUUUGUGAUUGUUUUUUUUU